rnacentral:lncRNA from 14 species
AUGGGAGCCCAUCCGGGUAGGAGGCAGCAGAAAGAUGUGGCCAUUCAUUUCCCACUGAGGCAUCCUGCCAGUUGCGCACAGGAACCCUUUGCAUGGGAAAAUUAUCAGAGAACAAACCCAGCUCCUAAUCCACUCCUCAGGGCACUCCCAAGCCUCCUCAGCACAAGUGAUGCCAGGGAGAACACCAGAGGUACUGGCCCUGCAUCAAGCAACCAGCAAAGGGGACAGGCAUCCUGGGGCAGUUCUUGUUCAGCAUCUCCUGGCAGUCCCUUCCUGAUGGCUGUGCCCAGGGGAAGAAGAUGGGAAAAGGUCAUCAUUAAAGAAAUGUAA